GUAGGGAAUCUUCCGCAAUGGGCGAAAGCCUGACGGAGCAACGCCGCGUGAGUGAUGAAGGUCUUCGGAUCGUAAAACUCUGUUAUUAGGGAAGAACAUAUGUGUAAGUAACUGUGCACAUCUUGACGGUACCUAAUCAGAAAGCCACGGCUAACUACGUGCCAGCAGCCGCGGUAAUACGUAGGUGGCAAGCGUUAUCCGGAAUUAUUGGGCGUAAAGCGCGCGUAGGCGGUUUUUUAAGUCUGAUGUGAAAGCCCACGGCUCAACCGUGGAGGGUCAUUGGAAACUGGAAAACUUGAGUGCAGAAGAGGAAAGUGGAAUUCCAUGUGUAGCGGUGAAAUGCGCAGAGAUAUGGAGGAACACCAGUGGCGAAGGCGACUUUCUGGUCUGUAACUGACGCUGAUGUGCGAAAGCGUGGGGAUCAAACAGGAUUAGAUACCCUGGUA
rnacentral:rRNA from 1 species